AUUUUCUAGCAAUGAUUUUUUUUAAAUUAAGGGAUCUCCAACUUCCAGGCCGUAGACUGAAAGCAGUUCACAGCCAGUUAGGAACCAGUCUGCACAGCAGGAGGUGAAUGACUAGAUCAUACUGGGAAGGCUGUGUUUCAUCUCCUGUUACAAUUCUUCAAACAAAUGCUGCAGGAUCUCCAUCCCACUUGCCUGAAAUUUCUACUGGAAGCUCUGAAAUUGUUUGCAGCUGAUCUGUUAGUAAUGGUUUGGCCCCCUUUACGUGAAAAGUUUGCUCUACUUUAAUCUUUCAGUCAGAAUUGCAAGCUGGACUGUU
rnacentral:lncRNA from 13 species